rnacentral:lncRNA from 1 species
GUGCAAGGUAUAGAGUCCUAUUCAUUUGGGAUUCUAGGGUUUAACCAAUUGGAUUUCUUUCAAACCUAACCUAAUUAGACCCAAAUAAAAUAUGGUGAACCUAAUCUAAUUAGACUUCUAUAAUUUUAAUUAAAUUUGAUCAAAUUAAUAAAUUAAUUGAGUCAUAGAUCCGAUCAAAUUAGGAUCAUUUUUUCUUUACCGAUUAGGUCAUCUCAUAACCUAAUCAGACCUGAUCUGAUUGAAUCCAAUUCAAUCCUACUUGAUCCAGAAUCAAAUUGAGCUAAUUAGUGAUCUAAUCACUAAUUAAUCC